UGAGGAAUAUUGGACAAUGGGCGCAAGCCUGAUCCAGCGACGCCGCGUGAGUGAUGAAGGCCUUUGGGUCGUAAAGCUCUGUCAGCAGGGAAGAACGGCCGUGUGGUUAAUACCCAUGCGGAUUGACGGUACCUGCAGAGGAAGCACCGGCUAACUCCGUGCCAGCAGCCGCGGUAAUACGGAGGGUGCGAGCGUUAAUCGGAAUUACUGGGCGUAAAGGGCGCGUAGGCGGCCGAUCAAGUCAGAUGUGAAAGCCCACGGCUUAACCGUGUGAAGUGCAUCUGAAACUGGUCGGCUUGAGUAUCGGAGAGGAAAGUGGAAUUUCCUGUGUAGCGGUGAAAUGCGUAGAUAUAGGAAGGAACACCAGUGGCGAAGGCGACCACCUGGACUGAUACUGACACUGAGGUGCGAAAGCGUGGGGAGCAAACAGGAUUAGAUACCCGCGUAGUCCCUGAGCGGGCUGGCAAGGCGCAU
rnacentral:rRNA from 1 species